GACGAACGCUGGCGGCGUGCUUAACACAUGCAAGUCGAACGGCAAGGCCCUGCUUUUGUGGUGUGCCCGAGUGGCGAACGGGUGCGUAACACGAGAGUAACCUGCUCUUGACUUUGGGAUAACUUCAGGAAACUGGGGCUAAUACCGGAUAGGAGCCCCUGCUGCAUGGUGGGGGUUGGAACGUUUCGGCGGUUGGGGUUGGACUCGCGGGUUAUCAGCUUGUUGGUGGGGUAGUGGCUUACCAAGGCUUUGACGGGUAGCCGGCCUGAGAGGGUGACCGGCCACAAUGGUACUGAGAGACGGCCCAGACUCGUACGGGGGGCAGCAGUGGCGAAUAUUGCACAAUGGGCGGAAGCCUGAUGCAGCAACGCCGCGGGCGGGAUGACGGCCUUCGGGGUGUAAACCGCUUUCGCCUGUGACGAAGCUUGAGUGACGGUAAUGGGUAAAGAAGCACCGGCUAACUACGUG
rnacentral:rRNA from 1 species